UACAGAGGGGGCAAGCGUUGUUCGGAAUUACUGGGCGUAAAGGGCGCGUAGGCGGCCUUCUAAGUCGAACGUGAAAUCCCCGGGCUCAACCCGGGAACUGCGUCCGAUACUGGAAGGCUUGAAUCCGGGAGAGGGAUGCGGAAUUCCAGGUGUAGCGGUGAAAUGCGUAGAUAUCUGGAGGAACACCGGUGGCGAAGGCGGGUCUCUGGACCGAUACUGACGCUGAGGAGCGAAAGCGUGGGGAGCGAACAGG
rnacentral:rRNA from 1 species